CUGUAGAAUUGCCAUUGAUACUGUUGUUCUUGAAUUAUUAUGAAGUGGUUGGAAUGAGUAGUGUAGCGGUGAAAUGCAUAGAUAUUACUCAGAACACCUAUUGCGAAGGCAGAUCACUAAUAAUAUAUUGACGCUGAGGGACGAAAGCGUAGGUAGCGAACAGGAUUAGAUACCCUGGUAGUCUACGCCGUAAACGAUGGUUACUAGCUGUUCGGCUCGAUUGAGAGCUGAGUGGUUAAGCGAAAGUGAUAAGUAACCCACCUGGGGAGUACGUUCGCAAGAAUGAAACUCAAAGGAAUUGACGGGGGCCCGCACAAGCGGUGGAGCAUGUGGUUUAAUUCGAUGAUACGCGAGGAACCUUACCAGGGCUUAAAUGCAGUUGGACAGGUCUGGAAACAGACCCUUCUUCGGACUAAUUGCAAGGUGCUGCAUGGUUGUCGUCAGCUCGUGCCGUGAGGUGUCAGGUUAAGUCCUAUAACGAGCGCAACCCCUGUGGUUAGUUGCCAGCGAGUCAUGUCGGGAACUCUAGCCAGACUGCCAGUGCAAACUGUGAGGAAGGUGGGGAUGACGUCAAAUCAUCACGGCCCUUACGUCCUGGGCCACACACGUGCUACAAUGGUAGGGACAGAGGGCAGCUACCCCGCGAGGGGAUGCGAAUCUUCAAACCCUAUCACAGUUCGGAUCGGAGUCUGCAACUCGACUCCGUGAAGCUGGAACCGCUAGUAAUCGCAUAUCAGCCAUGAUGCGGUGAAUACGUUCCCGGGCCUUGUACACACCGCCCGUCAAGCCAUGGAAGCCGGGGGUACCUGAA
rnacentral:rRNA from 1 species